CUAGCCGUAAACGAUGGACACUAGUUGCCGGAAGAGUCAAUCCUUCGGUGACGAAGCUAACGCAUUAAGUGUCCCGCCUGGGAAGUACGCCCGCAAGGGUGAAACUCAAAGGAAUUGACGGGGGCCCGCACAAGCGGUGGAGCAUGUGCUUUAAUUCGAUGCAACGCGAAGAACCUUACCUGGGCUUGACAUGGGGGUGAAAGGUCGCAGAGAUGUGAUCCCUUCCGCAAGGAACACCCUACACAGGUGC
rnacentral:rRNA from 1 species